GGGGGUGUAGCUUAGUCCGGUUCAAAGCACUCGCCUGUCGAGCGAAAGAUCGUGGGUUCAAAUCCCAUCAUCCCCG
rnacentral:tRNA from 2 species